rnacentral:rRNA from 1 species
ACUAACGCUGGCGGCGUGCCUAACACAUGCAAGUCGAACGAGUUGGUUUAUAGUAGCAAUAUUGUAGACCGGCAAGUGGCGAACGGGUGAGUAACACGUAGAUAAUCUGCCUUUCAGACGGGGACAACUCAGGGAAACUUGUGCUAAUACCCGAUGAGACUACGGAGGGGGACCUCUGCAGCCAAAAGUGGGCGAAAGCUCACGCUGAAAGAUGAGUCUGCGUCCCAUUAGCUAGUUGGCAGGGUAAUGGCCUACCAAGGCGACGAUGGGUAGCGGGUCUGAGAGGAUGAUCCGCCACACUGGAACUGAAACACGGACCAGACUCCUACGGGAGGCAGCAGUGAGGAAUAUUGGACAAUGGGCGCAAGCCUGAUCCAGCGACGCCGCGUGAGUGAUGAAGGCCUUUGGGU